rnacentral:lncRNA from 1 species
AAGGACUUGCCAUUGGAAGGAAGGGGUCACAAUAAGGCUCUAAACAUCACAAUUGAAGUAACAAAGAAAGAGGACUCCUUAUGUGAUGGUGUAUGAUGGGUCAACCAUUAAUGUCUAUCCUUAUUUCAUCCUUCCUAAAUUGGAAAUGACUGCGAAGGAUAUGAAAUCUUUGGACAUGGUCAUAAGGGCAUAUGAUGAGAUGAAGAGAGAUAU